rnacentral:rRNA from 1 species
UCGAGAGGCUUCGGCAAUGGGGGAAACCCUGACCGAGCGACGCCGCGUGGGGGAUGAAGGCCCUUGGGUUGUAAACCCCUUUUGUUCGGGAAGAAGUGCGAUCAGGUGAACAAUCUGGUCGUUUGACGGUACCGGACGAAUAAGCUCCGGCUAACUCCGUGCCAGCAGCCGCGGUAACACGGGGGGAGCAAGCGUUGUUCGGAAUCACUGGGCGUAAAGGGCGUGUAGGCGGUGCGGUAAGUGAGAUGUGAAAUCCCUCGGCUCACCCGAGGAUCUGCAUCUCAUACUGCUGCGCUUGAGUAUGGGAGAGGAUGAGGGAAUUCCUGGUGUAGCGGUGAAAUGCGUAGAUAUCAGGAGGAACACCGGUGGCGAAAGCGCUCAUCUGGCCCAAUACUGACGCUGAGGCGCGAAAGCUAGGGGAGCAAACGGGAUUAGAUACCCCCGUAGUCC